UGGAGGCAUCAGACCAUCGCUGGUCAUUCUAUAGGGGCUAUGACGGUGGGUGGGCACAAGUGUGUCUACAACAACAAGAACCACAACUUUUAGGCUGUCCUCUUGCAGAAUCCAUCCUGAUCUGCAAGACUCAUAGUGAACAAAGACAGAUUUGUGAAUCGACUCCAUCUGUCAGUGAUUCACUGACGCUCUGCUGGGAGUUGGAGUACUUGCCUCAUGGAUACAAUAUCUCUUUAGACAAUAAAGCUUGUAUUGGAGAUGUCAUAGAUUAAGGUCUCUGGAAAAUGCACAUCUUUUCUUCGUAUUAUGGGAGCCGAUGCGGAUGCCCUGCAUUGCACGCUGUUCAAGGACACCUCUGGGCGCACGGGAUUUCGGAAUGUGACUGGUGACGUUACAGGUUAUGAUCUGCGCAGCUAAAUGAUCUCCAAUAUCAUAAAUCCAACAUGACAAGUCUGCGCACCUCUAAUCUGAAUGACACCAAUGAAAAUCCAUUCAGACCUUCCUUCUUGUCGUAUGGAACUGAAUAAGUUCUACGAUCUAUAGAAUUAACUGUUUAACACCUCGAUGGCAACGACUACCAUACAUAUCAAUACAAGUGUUCCUCAGUGCUGUCCAGCCUUCCUGCAUUGUUCUUUUGAGGCCCAUUCAAUGACAUCUCCUUCCUUCCUGCUCUCAACUUUCCUCAUUGAUCUUUACCUCGACAAGUGACUAACCCCAAAAAAUGACAAAGUCCCGCACGAGAACAAACGUCCAGACGAUGACACAGAGAUGAUGCAGAUCGUGACAGGGUCCAUCCUUCCAAACCGUUUAAGAUUCUCGGUAUUAUCUGCUCACGUGGCAGACACAAUCUGGACCUCCCCUUCCAAAAAAAAAACCUUUAACCACUGGAAAGUUACUUGUGACAGUGCCUGUGUGUACAGAACAAAA